CCCUUCCCUCAAGCAAAGCUUCCUUAUUCUGCCUCCAACCCGUAUCAACAACAAAACCAAAACUCCCAAAAACCCUAUUCCAAAACCAAACACAAACCUAUGAAACCUUGUCUCUAAAACCAACAACAUCAUUGAAAAACAACAUCAUAGGCAAUGAGAAUGAUGCAAGUAGCUUCAAGUAUUCGUGCUUUCACAUGGUUCUCACUUCGAAGACACUUAGAAGAAAACAUAACCGACCUACACAAAUGCACAAACCCUAAUCACAUCAAACAAAUCCAUGCACAACUCAUCAAAUGUCAUCUUCAUCAAGACCCUUACAUUGCUCCAAAACUCAUAGCUUCAUAUUCACUCACCAAUAAUUUAUCUUCUGCUGUUAAUGUUUUUAACCAAGUUCCUGACCCAAAUGUUCAUCUUUAUAAUUAUCUUAUUAGAGCUUAUUCUCUUUCAGGCAAUGAAUCAAACAGUUUGUGUGCGUUUGGUGUUUUAUUGAAAAUGCAUGUGGAUGGUGUUUUGGCGGAUAAUUUUACUUACCCUUUUCUUUUAAAAGGGUGUAAUGGUAGUUCUUCUUGGUUGAGUUUGGUGAAAAUGGUGCAUGCCCAUGUGGAAAAAUUGGGUUUUUAUUGGGAUAUUUUUGUGCCGAAUUCGUUGAUUGAUUGUUAUUGUAGGUGUGGGGAUGUUGAGAUGGCGAUGAAGGUGUUUUCCGGGAUGGAGGAGAGGGAUGUUGUGAGUUGGAAUAGUAUGGUUGGUGGGUUGGUUAAAAAUGGUGAUUUAGAUGGUGCGUUGAAGGUGUUUGAUGAAAUGCCGGAGAGAGAUAGGGUUAGUUGGAAUACGAUGUUGGAUGGGUUUACGAAGGCGGGUGAGAUGGAUAAGGCGUUUAAAUUGUUUGAGAGAAUGGCUGAGAGGGAUAUUGUUUCUUGGUCUACUAUGGUUUGUGGUUAUAGUAAAAACGGUGAUAUGGAUAUGGCGAGGAUGUUGUUUGAUAGGUGUCCAGUUAAGAAUUUGGUGUUGUGGACGACGAUAAUAUCUGGGUAUGCUGAGAAGGGACAGGUGAAGGAGGCGAUGAACUUGUGUGAUGAAAUGGAGAAGUCUGGGUUGAGGCUUGAUGAUGGGUUUUUUAUUAGUAUUUUGGCUGCGUGUGCUGAGUCUGGAAUGCUUGGGUUGGGAAAGAAAAUGCAUGAUUCGUUUUUAAGGUCUAGAUUUAGAUGUAGCACUAAGGUAUUGAAUUCCUUCAUUGAUAUGUAUGCAAAGUGUGGUUGUGUCGAUGAUGCCUUUCGUGUGUUUAAUGGAAUGAAGACGGAGAAGGAUUUGGUGUCUUGGAAUUCCAUGAUACAUGGGUUUGGUAUACACGGACAUGGUGAGAAAUCGAUUGAGCUUUUCAAUACAAUGGUGCGUGAAGGUUUCAAGCCUGAUAGAUAUACAUUCAUUGGCCUUUUAUGCGCUUGCACGCAUGCGGGCCUUGUUAACGAAGGGCGUGGUUACUUUUAUUCAAUGCAGAGAGUAUACGGGAUUGUUCCUCAGAUCGAGCAUUAUGGUUGCAUGGUUGACCUUCUCGGCCGUGGUGGACAUCUGAAAGAAGCUUUUUGGCUUGUGCGCAGCAUGCCCUUUGAACCAAAUGCCAUUAUAUUGGGCACUCUUUUGGGCGCUUGUCGGAUGCAUAAUGAUGUUAAACUCGCUACAUCUGUGUCUAAAUAUCUGUUUAAAUUGGUGCCAUCUGAUCCUGGAAAUUUUUCGCUUCUGUCAAAUAUUUAUGCUCAAUCUGGUGAUUGGAUUAAUGUUGCCAAAGUGAGGAAGCAGAUGAAUGACGAAGGAGGUCAAAAGCCUUCUGGGGUUAGUUCCAUAGAGGUGGAGGAAGAAGUACACGAAUUUACUGUACGUGACUGGUCACACCCUAAAUCAGUUGGGAGAUGUUUAGUGUUCUGAUGACUGAUUUUACAAAUUGAGACUCUCUGGGAGCCUUUUUCUGAGAUUAGAUUAUUGUAGAGGUGAACAUUAGGGUUUGAGAUCAGUUUGAAGAUGUUGAAGGCCGAGGAGAUUUGGUUGGAGAGGGAGUAGGCGAUGAUGAGUUUGGAGCUACGCAGAUGCCUUAGUGGACGUCAGAGAGGUUAUCUUCCAUGUGUCUUCUAGGAGAGAACUAUAUGAAGAUUCACAGUCAAGAUGACAUUUGCAUCCUUCUCGUGACGUACUGAACUCUGAAACAGCCUUCCAUACACCGAUUUCAACGAAGAACGGUGGCAUUUCUCUCCUCUUCCAGCAACAACUUAAACUUGAAAUAUCCUUGCAGUGCCUUCACAAUCAUCACCAUCUUUGUUUCUUCUGUUGAGAAUGGUCCGAUUUAGGCGCUGAAGCAUAUUUCAGGUAUUUCUUCAGGCUUGUUUAUUGCCUUCCUUGGGACUUAGAUAUUUUGCAUUGAUAGGAAUUGUUUGAUUUUGAAUCAACUUUUAUGACACUGCUAUCGAUUUCCUCUUCAUUUUCAUCAAUAUCACCAGAAGUAAUUUAACCAUAUUCCAAUUUUAUGUGUUCUUACAUAUUUUAGUUUUCCAUCAAUAAAGGUCUACUGAAAGUUUGAAGCUAGUUAAUCACAAACAAAUCAAAUUGUAUUUUGCUGGACUUUGAAGCUUUCAUGAACAAAACCAAUUGAUGGACUUUUGUGCCUUGUUGGAAUUUCAAUGCUGUGUUACAUUUGUAAAGUAGUUCCCUGAAGAAGCUAAAUUAGUCCAUCUAAAUUGGCACCGGGGAUAAUCGAAUUGAGACCUUGAGGAGGAGCACACUCUCGGGUCCCAAGCCAAUACCACCAUGUCAACCCAAGUGGGUUAAAAAAAUAUGAUAUUGUAAUUACUGGAUCACUUAUUCUGACAAUAACAUAAUUGCAUUGCAAGGAUUACGAUAAAUAUUUUCUAGAUUUUCAGGUUCAAGUUUGAUAUUCAUUUACAUAGUUUCUAUAUUGAAACUAUUUUAUAGUGAUAAUCCAACAAUAAUAGUGAACUCCAAAGUUUGAUGCUCCUCA